AUGAGGUUAAGUAUUUUUACCUAUAUUAUAUCACUUAUUUCUUACAAAUGGAGCAAGGGAGCAAGCAAGCAAGGGAGGUAUUAUUAUCCCUAUUUUAUGUAUUUAUGUAUUUAUUUUUGAUUUCUAUUCUUUUGGUUUUUUUGUUGUUUUUUAUUGAUGUAUCAUAGUUGUACAUGUUUUGGGGUACAUGUGAUAUUUUUGAUACAUGUAUACAAUGUGUAAUGAUCAAAUCAGAGUAAUUUGGAUAUUCAUCACCUCGAAUAUUUAUCUUUUCUUUGUGUUGGGAACAUUAUAAUUUUUCUCUGCUAGCUAUUUUAGAAUAUAUAAUAAAUUAUUGUUCCCUAUGAUUUCUCCAUUGUACAAUUGAAUACUAAAAUUUAUUAUGUCUAUCUACAUAUCCCCAGUUCAAUAACUAUAAUUUCUCUGCUGUGCAAUCAAAUACUAGAACUUCUUCCUUCGAACGCUAUAUCCCUAAUUCAAUAACAAGUAAACUGAAGCUCAGCAUGGUCUAGGAACUUUGUUACGUUAACACAGCAAGUGAGUGUUGCAGCCUGGAUCCAAAAAUCAGGCCUGGUCGACCUCAAAGUCCAGAUUAUUGACCUUUCUACCAUAAUGUAUGGAGUUUUAGGAUUUGAAGAUAAAAGAGGUGAAAAUUUGGAAAUGGUUUCUGGACUUUUGAAUUUUGGCAAACAGCUAUGUGAUAAGUCCACCCUGCAGACCCACAACUUUUGGAAAUAACUCUACUGUGACCUUCAGUAGCAGAAGCUGCUCCUGGGGUGGUAGAACACAAGGAAAACACACACUAGUAAAAAUUUCAUGUGCCUUCUUUGUUCUGUACAUGUGUUUCUCUUGAUUAGUAUAUGGUAGUAUCCUCAAAUCAUAGUAACAAGUAUACUUUUUCCAGUGAAUUGCAUGUGUAUAUUAUUGUAUAGUAUAAAAGGCAAUAUUUCCAUUUAUUAUCAUCUGUGCUUUUCAAAGAAACUCUGUGAGUCCAACAGGGCAGAUAAUAGAAGCAACUGCCCUUUCUCUCCCCCGUUAAAUGCAACCCAAUGUCACAGUCCGUAGCAUCCCCAGAUGAGUGUAUUAAAGGUGAGAAAUUCCCAAAGUCAAACUCAGUAGCAUCCUUGAAUGAGUGUAU
rnacentral:lncRNA from 1 species